GCUCCUGAUUGAUAAACAUUUGAGUGAGUGGCGGACGGGUGAGUAACACGUGGGUAACCUGCCCUAAAGUGGGGGAUAACAUUUGGAAACAGAUGCUAAUACCGCAUAAAACCUAACACCGCAUGGUGUAGGGUUGAAAGAUGGUUUCGGCUAUCACUUUAGGAUGGACCCGCGGUGCAUUAGUUAGUUGGUGAGGUAAAGGCUCACCAAGACCGUGAUGCAUAGCCGACCUGAGAGGGUAAUCGGCCACACUGGGACUGAGACACGGCCCAGACUCCUACGGGAGGCAGCAGUAGGGAAUCUUCCACAAUGGACGAAAGUCUGAUGGAGCAACGCCGCGUGAGUGAAGAAGGUUUUCGGAUCGUAAAACUCUGUUGUUGGAGAAGAAUGUAUCUGAUAGUAACUGAUCAGGUAGUGACGGUAUCCAACCAGAAAGCCACGGCUAACUACGUGCCAGCAGCCGCGGUAAUACGUAGGUGGCAAGCGUUGUCCGGAUUUAUUGGGCGUAAAGCGAGCGCAGGCGGUUUCUUAAGUCUGAUGUGAAAGCCUUCGGCUCAACCGAAGAAGUGCAUCGGAAACUGGGAAACUUGAGUGCAGAAGAGGACAGUGGAACUCCAUGUGUAGCGGUGAAAUGCGUAGAUAUAUGGAAGAACACCAGUGGCGAAGGCGGCUGUCUGGUCUGUAACUGACGCUGAGGCUCGAAAGCAUGGGUAGCAAACAGGAUUAGAUACCCUGGUAGUCCAUGCCGUAAACGAUGAGUGCUAGGUGUUGGAGGGUUUCCGCCCUUCAGUGCCGCAGCUAACGCAUUAAGCACUCCGCCUGGGGAGUACGACCGCAAGGUUGAAACUCAAAGGAAUUGACGGGGGCCCGCACAAGCGGUGGAGCAUGUGGUUUAAUUCGAAGCAACGCGAAGAACCUUACCAGGUCUUGACAUCCUUUGACCACUCUAGAGAUAGAGCUUUCCCUUCGGGGACAAAGUGACAGGUGGUGCAUGGUUGUCGUCAGCUCGUGUCGUGAGAUGUUGGGUUAAGUCCCGCAACGAGCGCAACCCUUAUUACUAGUUGCCAGCAUUUAGUUGGGCACUCUAGUGAGACUGCCGGGUCAGCUCGUGUCGUGAGAUGUUGGGUUAAGUCCCGCAACGAGCGCAACCCUUAUUACUAGUUGCCAGCAUUUAGUUGGGCACUCUAGUGAGACUGCCGGUGACAAACCGGAGGAAGGUGGGGACGACGUCAAAUCAUCAUGCCCCUUAUGACCUGGGCUACACACGUGCUACAAUGGAUGGUACAACGAGUUGCGAGACCGCGAGGUUUAGCUAAUCUCUUAAAACCAUUCUCAGUUCGGAUUGUAGGCUGCAACUCGCCUACAUGAAGCCGGAAUCGCUAGUAAUCGCGGAUCAGCAUGCCGCGGUGAAUACGUUCCCGGGCCUUGUACACACCGCCCGUCACACCAUGAGAGUUUGUAACACCCAAAGCCGG
rnacentral:rRNA from 1 species